GCCCAGGUAGCUCAGCUGGUAGAGCAGGGGACUGAAAAUCCCCGUGUCGGCGGUUCGAUUCCGUCCCUGGGCACCA
rnacentral:tRNA from 1 species